AUGCUGCCAGCGGUCAGGAGUCUACCACCACGAGGACCGAGGGAGCAGAGAGCUUCCUGCACUGGGGCGUCCGCUGGACCCUUCCCGGUGAGUGUCAGUCAUGAGCUCCAAGAAAGAGUUUGGGAGACAGUUCAGAGCAAAACACUUCCUUCCAGGGAAAACCUCAAGUGUGCAGGGAUCACAAGCAUUCAAACCCUGAUGCGGCCACUUGUUCACUGUGAAUCUCAGGCUGAGCAGUGGGGCUCCCGGCGUGUCUUAGCUUUCCCCUCCAGGACAGUGGGGGUACAUAGUAUGACCCCAGCUCCCCAGCCGGGCGACACGGAGACCAAGGGAGACAGCACACACAAGCGCACCUGACCCAGGUGGCCUCUGAGAUGCCAGUUUUUCCCAUUUGCUAUGAUGGCGGAGGUCAAGUUCGGUAUCCCAGGCAAAGGGCAGAACAUAAUAACUUCUUCGAUUUGGACAUGCUCUUCCAGAAGAUGUGAGCUGGAGAGCAGACACUUUCUUUCUGGGUUCCAGUCCUACACCUGAGUGCACACGUUUGACUCUCCCCAGACCCCAAACUCAGCCCCAGAAACUAGCUUAGGAUUCCCUUUGCUCAAGAUCUUCUCAGUCCAAGUUAGUAACCACAGGUGGCCCAUUUAAAUGUAAACUACUUUGAUUUAAGUGAAAUUUAAAAAUUCAGUUCCUCGGUUGCACUGACCACAUGUCAGAUGUUCAGUAGCCACACGUGGGUGCUGUCGUAGAUGGGACAGACACCAUCCUGCCACCAUCCCAGAAGGUUCCAUCAUACAGAGCUGUCCUGGAGGCUCAGUGGGACCCCAGACUACUGCCUAGACAGCGAUGGAUUCUGGUGGCAUCUUGGCCUCUCAUUUCUGCACUAACUCCUUCUCUAUUUGAAAACAAGAAUCUACUAAGGUGCCAUCUUGGGUCUGGCAUAUUUAGGGGAUGAGCAAGCAGACCCCUGGGUAGGUGAGGUCUGGUGGCCCCUGCAAGACUCACGCCCAGAAGCCAAAAGAGGCUUUUGCUCACUGGUUGACUGCCCUUUACAAAAACAACCAAUAAAGAGAUGGUACUUUUAUAUAGCCACUAUGGAAGACAGUAUGGAGAUUCCUUUAAAGACUAGGAAUAAAACCACCAAAGGACCCAGCAAUCCCACUCCUAGGCAUGUACC
rnacentral:lncRNA from 1 species